UACGGGGGGAGCAAGCGUUGUUCGGAUUUACUGGGCGUAAAGGGCGCGUAGGCGGUCAGCACAAGUCAAUUGUGAAAUCUCCGAGCUUAGCUCGGAAAGGUCAACUGAAACUGUGCGACUAGAGUGCGGAAGGGGCAACUGGAAUUCUUGGUGUAGCGGUGAAAUGCGUAGAUAUCAAGAGGAACACCUGCGGCGAAGGCGGGUUGCUGGGCCGACACUGACGCUGAAGCGCGAAAGCCAGGGGAGCGAACGGG
rnacentral:rRNA from 1 species